GUUUGGAUCGAUUAUGAGGCAAAAAGUCAUCCCAAUUCAAUAUAAGAAUCACAUAUAUAUGGUUCGAUUCGAUUUGGAUAACUAUUCAAAAAAUCCAAUUUGAUUUGAUCUAAAUAUAUGUUGUAAUUUGAAGCUGAAUACAUCGAAUACGUAGUACGGAUGCGAGUAUAAUACGAUACGAAUAUGUGGAUAUGCAAAAUUUUUUAAAUUUAGG
rnacentral:lncRNA from 1 species